CCGCUUAUUGAUAUGCUUAAGUUCAGCGGGUAUUCUUACC
rnacentral:rRNA from 1 species